UCAAACCAGAGGAGAAAGUCGGGUGCCAAGAUGAGCAUUGCAGACACUACGGGUUUGCACCUGGCUUAUGCCUAACAUCUACACUCGGAAUGAAUGAAUGAUUGACCGAACAAUUUAACUAAACAUCAAGCCAAUGAGAAAAGGAGAACAGAUACCUGAAUAAGAUAAUUUAGUAUUUUAAAGUUUUCAGGGCGCUUUCCUGUCACCACUGGUGUCUUCCCUGUGACAGCCCUGGAGGCGGAGAGUGUGGGUUUCAUUGGUCCCACCUGACAAGUAAGGAAACCGAGGCGUGGAGUGUGCUCGGCGGAUCAGCGACGUCCCCGAAUGGCGAGUUUGGGAAGGAACUGAGCCCGAUGGCUCUGCCCUGCUGGGUUCCCCAUCUCGGGCACCUGUCGCCUGCAGUGAGGGUGCCCUCGGUCCUGCUACUGAGGUGGUGGGGACGGUGCCUGGAGCACUUACCAGAAUGAACUGGUGUUUGAGGUCCCUGUGAGCGGCCUGUGGUGGUCUCUCACUGUGUUCUGAACUCGAGCUGGGGAAGAGGAGUGCUGUUUAUUGUCUCUCCAAAACCCCAGCAGAGAUGUUAAGCAACUUGCUCAGGUAACCUCAGGCUUUACCUGGGGUCCCCUGGCAAUCAGCCGCCUACUCUUUCCAACUGGAGGAACCCUGUCAGAGAGGAAUGGGAGAAGUGGGAGAGGGGGCCUGUGGGCUAGAUGCACAAGAUUGUUCUCUGGUCAUGUAAGUUUGGGAAACGACAAUGGUUUAAAGUUCUGUCAGGUUCUGUUCUGCAGGACUUAUCAGAGCCAUCAAUCACAACUACACUCUGGAUCUCCAAGUGGAGAUAGAUGGAACAGGCAUCAUCUUCCAGACUUGUUGGACCACAUGGGUGAAUGUACCCAAAGAGGUGCAGGCACUGAGAGAUUUACAAGAAAAGAUCAAUGGAGAAGUAACCAUUCAGUUGACUACAGGAUUCUCUGAGCUGCAAAAUGACCCACCAGGUUUCUUUAAGUUGCAAGCCCCUGCUGGUCUCUCUCCUUCAGGCUGAUUUAAACUAAGGUACAAUUUAAACUAUUCUGACUUAUCAGAAAUGCAUCUAUUUAUAAAACAAAGCUCAGGCGUGUAAUUCACCCCAUGUUCCUCAAAGGCUCCUUAUAACCUCCGGGGCUCCAGUCGAGGUGCCCGGGGAGCCCCACCCGGGAACUCAAGCCCUCUGCCUCUGGCUUCUCCGUUAGUUU
rnacentral:lncRNA from 1 species